GUUUCGGUGGUCAUAGCGUGAGGGAAACGCCCGGUUACAUUCCGAACCCGGAAGCUAAGCCUCAGAGCGCCCAUGGUACUGCAGG
rnacentral:rRNA from 1 species